rnacentral:rRNA from 1 species
GACGAACGCUGGCGGCGUGCUUAACACAUGCAAGUCGAACGGAAAGGCCCUGCUUUUGUGGGGUGCUCGAGUGGCGAACGGGUGAGUAACACGUGAGUAACCUGCCCUUGACUUUGGGAUAACUUCAGGAAACUGGGGCUAAUACCGGAUAGGAGCUCCUGCUGCAUGGUGGGGGUUGGAAAGUUUCGGCGGUUGGGGAUGGACUCGCGGCUUAUCAGCUUGUUGGUGGGGUAGCGGCUUACCAAGGCUUUGACGGGUAGCCGGCCUGAGAGGGUGACCGGCGACAUUGGGACUGAGAGACGGCCCAGAAUCCUACGGGAGGCAGCAGUGGGGAAUAUUGCACAAUGGGCGGAAGCCUGAUGCAGCAACGCCGCGUGCGGGAUGACGGCCUUCGGGUUGUAAACCGCUUUCGCCUGUGACGAAGCGUGAGUGACGGUAAUGGGUAAAGAAGCACCGGCUAACUACGUG